rnacentral:misc_RNA from 1 species
AUGGGAGGGGGCUUGCUCCCGAUAGCGGCGGGCCAGUCAAUUAACCAGGUGACUGACCCUCCGCAAUCGGGGGCAAGCCCCCUCCCAC